rnacentral:rRNA from 1 species
CGGAGGAAAAGAAACUAACCAGGAUUCCCUUAGUAGCGGCGAGCGAAGCGGGAAGAGCCCAAAAUGAAAAGCCUGUGAUUGAGGCGUUGUAUUUUGAGCGUCCUCUGGAGUGUCAGUGUGGGUAAGUCGCAUGGAAAUGCGUGCCGUGGAGGGUGAGAGUCCCGUCCGUCCCACACAGGACACGCCGUACGAGGGCGUUUCAGGCGAGUCGGGUAGCUUGGGAAUGCUGCUCUAAUUGGUGGUAAAUCUCAUCAAAGGCUAAAUAAUGGUUGGAGACCGAUAGCGAACAAGUACCGUGAGGGAAAGAUGCAAAGCACUUUGAAAAGAGGGUGAAAAGAACCUGAAACCGUCAUGGGGGAAGCGGAUUGCGUUGGAAUGAUAUGGGCGCUGUGUGUGUUCAGCCCGACUUGUUCGGGUGCAUUGGCACGAGUGCUUAUCCGCCGUGGGCUUCUGGCGGCUGAUGUUGAGCUGCCGGGGGCUGAGGGCUCCCCUUUUUUUUAGGGUUGAGGACGGCGGAGCGACGACGCGAUACGACCCGUCUUGAAACACGGACCAAGGAGUCUAGCGCGGAUGCGAGUCAAAGGGUGUGAAAGCCUGUGGGCGCAGUGAAAGCGAGCUUGCAAAACGAGCAGUUUGAGGCGGCAUGGGAUCGUUGGAUCCCAAGUCCGACCUGGAGCAUUUGCGCUGGGACCCGAAAGAUGGUGAACUAUGCCGGAGUAGGGCAAAGCCAGAGGAAACUCUGGUGGAGGCUCGUAGCGGUGCUGACGUGCAAAUCGCUCGUCAAACUUGGGUAUAGGGGCGAAAGACUAAUCGAACCAUCUAGUAGCUGGUUCCCUCCGAAGUUUCUCUCAGGAUAGCGGGCCGACGGUGAGUUGUUCUGUGUGGUAAAGCGAAUGAUUAGCGCAUUUGGGGACAUUGUGUCUUCGGGCGAUUCUCAAACUUUAAAUGCGCAGGGGUGUCGCUGCUUGGUUGAGCGGCACCGGGAAAAACGUCGGCCCUGUGGGCCACUUUUGGUAAGCAGAACUGGCGAUACGGGAUGAACCGUAAGCGUGGUUAAGGCGCCCAAGUGCCCGCUUAUAGACCCCACAAAAGGCGUUGAUUCAUCGAGACAGCAGGACGGUGGCCAUGGAAGUCGGAAUCCGCUAAGGAGUGUGUAACAACUCACCUGCCGAAUGAAUUAG